AUUGAACGCUGGCGGCAUGCCUUACACAUGCAAGUCGAACGGUAACAGGUCUUCGGAUGCUGACGAGUGGCGGACGGGUGAGUAAUACAUCGGAACGUGCCUAGUAGUGGGGGAUAACUACUCGAAAGAGUGGCUAAUACCGCAUGAGAUCUACGGAUGAAAGCAGGGGAUCGCAAGACCUUGUGCUACUAGAGCGGCCGAUGGCAGAUUAGGUAGUUGGUGGGAUAAAAGCUUACCAAGCCGACGAUCUGUAGCUGGUCUGAGAGGACGAUCAGCCACACUGGGACUGAGAAACGGCCCAGACUCCUACGGGAGGCAGCAGUGGGGAAUUUUGGACAAUGGGCGCAAGCCUGAUUCAGCAAUGCCGUGUGCAGGAUGAAGGCCUUCGGGUUGUAAACUGCUUUUGUACGGAACGAAAAGCCCCGGGUUAAUACCCUGGGGUCAUGACGGUACCGUAAGAAUAAGCACCGGCUAACUACGUGCCAGCCGCCGCCGUAA
rnacentral:rRNA from 1 species